rnacentral:rRNA from 1 species
UACGAGGGGGCUAGCGUUGUUCGGAAUUACUGGGCGUAAAGCGCACGUAGGCGGAUAUUUAAGUCAGGGGUGAAAUCCCGGGGCUCAACCCCGGAACUGCCUUUGAUACUGGGUAUCUAGAGUCCAGAAGAGGUGAGUGGAAUUCCGAGUGUAGAGGUGAAAUUCGUAGAUAUUCGGAGGAACACCAGUGGCGAAGGCGGCUCACUGGUCUGGUACUGACGCUGAGGUGCGAAAGCGUGGGGAGCAAACAGGG